GAGAGAGAUGGGCCACAGUAAAGACUGCUAAUCUUCACUCCUUUGGUUAAACUCCAAAGCUCACUCG
rnacentral:tRNA from 1 species